CUCCCCUCCCUUUUCGGUGGACAACAACCCCCUCACCCCUUUUCUUUCUUUUCUUCCUCUCUUCUCUCAUUCUUCUGCUCUCUUCUCCAUGCACGAUCUCUGUCUCCCCUCUUUUCCAUUUUUUUUUCUCUUUACCUAGCACACACACGACGCAAAGAGAGAUUCCAAGAGAGAAAUACAAAGAUUGUGAGAGGUCGUCCAUGAGGAGAGACUCGACCGUUGGAGAAGAAAAUGGUGAUUUUUGGCCAUAUACAUCAAGGAAGGCAAGUGUUCAGGUUGGAGACUUCAAUGGGUUCUCCAAUAUGGAGUUCAAGUAAAGAGAAUCAAAGGGAAUGUUCGAGUCAUAAGUCCAAUGCAGCCAAUAUGAUGUUCUUUUGGUUGUAGGUACUCCGAUAUAAUGGACGGUUUGGUAGCAGUGCACUUGAGAUGUUAUGAUUGAAGCUUUUCGCGACGGUCGUAAUUGCUAGACCACGGGUGUCCACUAUUUUUAUAGGUUUGUUUAUGGCUUGUGUCACUUGUUAUUGUAUAAAGCCAUUUACGUUAUAUAUUUAAUUUGAGGAAAGACUUAAACAGAUAGAUGUUAAAUGGCUCUUUUUUGUAAUUAUAGGUGAUAGAGGUAUAUGUUAUGAUUUCCGCUAUUCAGG